UGUUGGGCCAGCGGCCCCAGCGGCUGCUCUCGUCACGCUCGUAACCCAUCGUGACUUCCAGAUUGGGCAGCACUCGGCACGCCAGGAGAGGAGCCAUGCUAGACAGACUGAGCCAAAGAGAGUGCAGGAUUGAGGUUCUUGACUAUUCCGUGGCCUCCAGGGAAGAUGACGGCGUCAAAGCUGCUGACGUCCAGUUUGGACAGAUCGAUCAUCUGCAUCAUGCCCUGGCCGUGGCUGAAUCGUGCAGACUCCAUCAUCAUGUUCCUGCGGAGAGGAAACAGUUUGGUAUCAGAUGGUCAUGAUUUUGGCGUGACCAGGAUAUUUCUUGACUGUUUUCGUGAGAUUGACGCAGAACAACGGAGCACCUGCUGUUGUCACAGAGCGAUGCUCUUGCGAGAGAGAAAACUUCAGCGGCCGAUCUGUUUUUGGAGGUGAUUUCUC